AAAGUGCUGGGAUUACAGGCUUGAGCCACUGCGCCCGGCCCGUUUUUUAUUAUUCUUAACCACUCAUGUGUUCCGUUAUAUAUUCGGGAUGGAAAAACACUCCACAAUUAAAACCAUCUUUGCAAAAAUUAUAGCUGAGAAAAUUAUGGCAGUGAAAGAUCUGACUUGACUCCAUUUUGCUUCUACCCUCCAAGCUGUACUUGUUCACUCCUGGGCAUAGGCCACACUAACUUUGGGAGGAACUUAAUUUAUAGUCUAACCUUGAAACUAAGACAAUAGCCCUUUCCCAAAACAAAUCUGUUUCUUUCCUGGGGACUAGACUGCCUUCAUAGGACUAACAAAGUAGCCACAGGAUUAGAAAUAAUGGUCUAGGAAUCACGUAGCUGGACUGCUGCAAGAUUCUAAACCUCCCCAACUUGAUUCUGGGGAUAAUAUUGUUAUUGUAAAAUCUCAAAUCAGUGCUUGAGAUAUUUUGCAGACACUGUACAGGAUAGCUCAGCUGGUACUAUGCAGACUGAUAAACUGGGUCAUCUGGAACUGACUCAGCACAAAGAGGACAACUGAGACACCCUAUGAUUUCAUCUCCAAUCCAACCAAUCAGCAUUCCUCACUUUCAGACCCCUACCCACCAAGUUUCCUUAAAAACCCCAUCCCCCAGUUUUUGAGGAGACUGAUUUGAAUAAUAAUAACACUCCUCUCUCCCAUACAGCUGGCUGUGCAUGAAUUAAACUCUUUCUCUAUUGCAAUUCCCCUGUCUUGAUAAAUCAAAUUUAUCUAGGCACUGGGCAAGGAAGACCCAUUGAAGGGUUACAACAAUAUUCUAAUACAUAAAGAGAUUUUUUUUUAAUGUGAUAUAACUAAUUAGUUUGGGGUCUAGAUCUGAGAAGGACUCACUGUUUUUGACUGUCAGCUUAUUCUGGUGGGUAUAAAGGAAAAUAAUGAGUGAUAAUUUAAAAAUAACCAACUUUCCAAUGACAAAUGACAGGUAAUUUAGAAAGACAGAGCUUUUAUGAGCUAAAAGAAUCUUAAUUUUGAAGAUGACAUUUAACUAAAAUAGUGAAGAUUUUAGGAAGUGCCAAAGAAAAAUAUUAUUGUUAAAAAAUUAUAAUAGUUUCUUUAAUUGACACAUGCAUUUGCCUCUCAGUUGAAUGCAAAAUAUAAAAUUCCUUCACUUAAGAAAACACAGCAAUUAAGUAAAAUAAACAAAUUGUCAAUUUUCUAAUUUUGUAGUCCUGGAAUUCCUUAUAUUAUAGAACCCCCCUCCCAGUUAUUUCUUUAAGUUGUGACUUUGCUAAUAAGUGCUUACACAGAAAUAAUUUUGCUUCCAUUGAAAAAUGUCAUCUUCAGGAGUCUUCUGAAUAUCUAUAUGCAGACCAAUUAACUGAUUGCAUUAUAAUACUUAUGAAAAGUCCUGCAAGAGAACAUGACUUUUGUGAAAUCCCUGACAACCCUGUGUCUGUGAUUCUCUAGUAUAAAACCAGUCAUCACAAGUGGCAUUUUUAAUUUUAUCAAUUAUUUUUACUCAUUUGCUCUUUAAAAAUGUCAAUUAAUUAAAUAAUAUAAAAUGCUUAUUGAAUGAAUGAUAUGAUCUAGGGCCUUUGCUAUGCCCUAGGUGAGAAUGACAUAUCAUAACACUUUGUCCAGCAGAGCUUAGAGCCUAAGAAAGCAUUUACAACAUUCCUGAAGAAUCAUUUGGAGGCCUUUAAAAAAAAAUUCAAAGACAUUGAAGGGACUGAUUCAGAAUGUCUUAAAUUGGGCCUGAGAAUCUAUACUUUCAAACAAGACUACUAAUUAAUUCUUGUGAUCUAGGAGAGGAAACAUUGUUCUAGUGCAGUGGUUCUCAACUGUGGCUGCACAGUCUCUGAGAGAACUUUAAGAAAAUCCUUAUGCUGAUUACAUCAGAACCUCCAGGCUUGGGGCCCAUGUAUCACAAUUUCAGAAAUAGCACUUUAAGUUAUUCCAAUAACUCAAGGUUGAGAACUACAUUUUAGUCUGAUGUCAAUUACUCCUCUUAAUCAUUUGCCAUACAACUUCAUUGUUCUCUGUUGCCAAAGUGAAGUGGGAAUGUCAGGGAAUCAAGUCACAAUGUAACUCCAAAUGUUUUCAAAAUCAUUAAUCUAAUGUCAGCUUAAUCAUUCAUUUAUUUAUACAUUUGUCUAUCCACUUAUUUAGUGAUGAAUGUCAAAGACAGAGAGCCACAGACUCUAUGGUACCUAUGGCACAGAAUAGGUCCCAAGAUUUGGCAGUUUUCAGGGAAGUUGUACUAUACGAGGCUCCUCCAGAGCAAAUGACUUAUAAUUUAUGUAUGGCACUAGAAAGCUCCUAGGAGUAUAGAAUCUUCACAGGUAGCUGAAACAGAUAUAAGAGUUUCAAUACCAGACAACUACAUUGCACAUGGUUUAUGUAGGUACUAUAUACCCAUAUAGUGCAGAAUUAUAUGUAUUAAAUAGAUAUAAAGAGAAGGAUGCAUAUAUAUGUGUACAUAUGCUAUAUUCUUCUAGGGUUCAUAGCCUUGAUUACCCACAUGAACUGCAGUGUACACUGCAGUAGUCUAAUAUUAACACUUUGAUUUCUGUUUUGGCUAUCUGUAUAGAUUUUACACUCCUGGGAACUUGCUAAUAUCACCCAUGAAUUCUAAUUUGCUCCAGAGGAGCCUAGCACAAAUAACACGACUCCCAUGGAAACUGCUAGAUCUUUGAAACUUUCUAUGCCAUAGGUACCAUGGGUCUGUGGAUCUCUGUCUUUUGAAUGCACUAUUAUAUCAAUGCACAUAUAAGUAUACACAUUUAUACAUAAAUGCUCAUAUAAACAUACACAUUUCCGUAUGUUUGUGUAAUGUUUCCAGCCUUUUAAAACUAGAAGAAAGGCAUCAGCUCUACAGAGGGUGAGUUCAGGGAUGAUUUUCAAAUCUCCUCAGCAUGAGAAAUAAUCACUACCAUUGGAAUACACAGAAGAAAAUUUAAGUAUAAUAUACAAUGGAUGCCUUAGGGAUUAGGACUACCCGUGGUUCUGAAAUGUUUAUGCCCAAAAUUGUAAUCUGAUUUCAGAUUUUCAAGUUAAUUUUUUUCUUAAAAAAUGCAAUCAGCUGCAAUCAGACUCAAUUUUAUUACUGCUUUGAGUAAUGAAAAAACUAAGCUAUACAAUUUAUGAAUAUUUCUAAUACGAAAUUCAGGUUAGGGUAGUUUAUCUGCUGUAACUAUACAGUCCAUAAUGUAUAAUGGCUCCAAUACAAUUGAAAUCUGCAUCUUGAUUGUGUGGAUGAACAAGACGUUGAGGUUUUCCCUAUCCAUGAGGUUACUCCGGACCCAUCUUAACCUGUGACUUCUAGGGUCUCCUUGGGGGUCAUCCCAAUUCAAGUGAGCAUUAAUGAGGCAAGAAUAUAUAAGAUGUGCAUGACAUGUUGUAUGGGCCAGGCAUUGGCAUGAAACACAUUUAAGGGUGGUGUCAGUUUAACUUUAUGAUAUAAAUAUAUCAUUUCAUCACUUCAGCUAAUUCCCAGAGGCAUUUACACAAAUUAUAAUGACCAAUGUGACUUGACAAUGACUCUGAGGGCUUGGUAUUGGGUGGUACAGGCAGCUCUAUCUUGGUGGUGCCAUAUAAGGUUCUGGGAAAUGUAGUCUACCUGUGUGCCCAGAACAAGAGGAAAUGAGUUUUUGUGGUCAGCCAGAAGUCUGUGCUACAUGGACCCUAGGAACACUGGCGAUAACAGGUAAUAGAUGUUUGAGUAAUGGUUAUAAUUGAGAAGGCUGAUCUAGAUUUGCAUGAAUCAGUUAUACAAAUGUAAUGUUAGUUGCAUACUAAAUAUUUUUAGUUUAUGAAUGCAUUUUCACAACUUAUGAACUAAUACCAGUAAUUGGGAAAUGAAUGAAAACUACUUAAUAAAGCAUGUUAUAUAGGAAUUAAUUUUGAAAUAACUCUUCUAAUUCACUUUUGUUAACUUAAAAACAUGAGACUAGCUUUGGGAGUGUGGGGAGAUGUAUUAAAACAUGGCUCAAGAGGGAAAACAUGUAACUAUAUGAUUAUAAUAAUAUGAAAUAAGCUAUAUACAUUUUAAAACAUUAAGUGAUAGUCCUGUGCACUAUAUGUCAGUAAACACACACACACACACACACACACACACACACACACACACACUUUUUUCUUUAGAAGUAAAAAUUAAAAAGACAAUGACCACUACAUUUAGAGAACCUUGUACCACAUCCCACAGAAGGGGCUCCUUAACUAUUUAGUUGUACAAAUUAAUCCUGUUUAUGAACUGUACUCAGUUGAUGUUCAGUCCUAAUUUCUAUCCCCAUUUCUGACAUGCUCAGUUUCCAUCUGAAGUCAGUCUGUCUGUCCUCAGCUCCCUGAACCUCCAGAAGAAACAGUUCUCUCUGACUCAAGUUUCUACCCAUUAUUUACACAGAAAUUCACCAUCCAGCUCUUCCUGGUUUUUCUCUGAGGGUAGAUUCAUCCCUGCCUCCUCAACUAAUGCUCAUAGUUUCCAGAGGGCCAACUAUGUCCCAACCAUCCCAUGACAUUUCAAUUUAGUUAAGAUUCUCCGUCCAUGCUUCACUACUAGAAUGUCCUUUAGUCCUGAGUUUUUCUCUUUUUGUCUUCUUAUAGAAAUAGCUAAAGUUUCCUCCCAGGGCCAGUUAAAAUGUUGUUCUUCUCUCAGCUGCCUUCAUUAGAAUGUCUUAUUUAAUUUUGGCUACAUUCACUAAUUCUAAAAAUAGUGCCCUUACUUAACACCCCAUUAAGUAAAUUCCCUUAGACACAUACACCCUUUAAAUGAAAACAGGUAUAUUUAAGUCGGAAAAAGUCAUUCGUUUUCCCCACACUGUCAUAUUGCUUGCAUAAACCUGGACAAACUUGCCAUCUCUCACAGUAGUUUGCAUCAGAAUCUUUGCCUCAUUCAUCCCAGGCAGACGAAUCCCCCAAUCUCACAUCUUCUGUACACCAUGUGAAAUGCUACACAAGACGAUGUGUGUGUGCAAAUGAAUGUGUCUGUAUGUAUAACAGCACAGAAAGUCAGGUACUAAUUUGACCAAAACUAGAAAUCUUGUGAUACCAACAUUUACUUUUUAUUUCAUAUAAAAAUAGUGUUACUCCACACUGGAACCUGGCAUCAGGAUUUCUUAUUUCAGUGCUUUCUUGUGGUUCACUCUGCAGCUUCUUUCCUUAAUACAACACUCACACCCAGGGAAUGCUCAAAGCUAGCGUGGCAACGGUACCUUCCCUAUAACAAUGUCACCUUCCCUCACCCACAGACUGAGCGUGGAGGGAGAAGCGACACCCCUCCUGAUCCUCUGAAACCUUUCAAAUGCUUUCCUGUAACUGGUGGUGAACUCACUGGCCUGCAAUUUUCUGGUGUUACUGGUUUCUUACAUUGCCAUUUUCUAUUCUUUGGGGAUAUGGCCUGUAUAAAGUCGGCUUUUGAAAAUGUCAACAAAAGCUUUUCUCUGUUCGGCUUCGUUUCUUCCCUGCUCUCAUUUCUUGGGAGGCACCGUGAAUGCCCUCUUGGCACCUUGUCGAUUUCCUAAGCAGCUAACCUUUCAAUAAUGAUAUUAAUGCUGCUGUGUGGUAAUCUGUGCAUUUCUCACUUCGUUUUCAACCGUUGCUUGCUGAGAUUCAUUUGUGUUGUUGUGUUCUUAAGAUUCUGGAAUUUGAGUGCAACCUGACUAGGGACCCAGAGCCAAAAUUUCUAGCUAAUAAAUGAGAAACAAUCUUAAUAAGUGGAAAUUUCUUUCUAAUUGAUUGAAUUUCCAAUAGCUAGCUAUACUUUGAAUUUGGCCUAGAAAAAGAGAUACAGAUAAUUAUAAACUUUUUAAAAGUCUCAUUUAAUAUUUUCUAUUUCAAAAUCCUCCCUAUUUGGAAGAAAGUUUUCAAAUAAUGUUAGUCUUCUCUGGCUGGGAUUACAAUGUGGAUGCCUCUGCGGUUAUGUGUUGAUGUGGGCUAUCAUCCUAAAAGACCACAGGAGAACUAAUUGGGGGCACAGGCUCUGAAGCCAGACUAAGCAUGUUCACAACCCACCUCUGCCACAUUUUACCUGUGUCCUUGGGCAGUUCACUUAAAAUAUCAAGUUUCUAAUUUCUAAGAUGGUUAUAUUCAUGCCUAUCUUAUUAUAUUUAAGUGAGAAAAUACAUUAGCAUUAUUAGCAUUAUUUUUCUUCUUUAGUCUUCUGAAUCUUUUCACUAUUUAACAUUCUUGCAUUCCCAAGUUGCUUUCCUGAAUGAAAUGUUUCUAACAACCUAUCUCUCCGUUUUGAUUGUAUUACAUAAACUUUGUUUAUAAUAUCUCAGAUGGAUAAUUUCUUCUUGCCAUAAAGAUCUGAGAAAUAAUUGGAUUGUCUGACUGUAGAUCUCUUUCUGUAGAGAAGGUCAAGGGGAUUCAAAUAACAGAUUGCUGCCUUCAUUAAGACCUCUUACCCUUCAUGGUUCAAACUGGCAUCAGGGAUUCAGUCUGAUACUCCCAUUAGACAGAUGCAGAUCUGGAAUCAAAUUUGAUUACACAUGUAGCUGAGGGUUAACACGGUUAUUUGAUUAUCCAAGAUCCUUCUCAGUGAUUCUUCUUUCUGGGACUCCUUCACAAAUCUUAAAGGAGCAAGUUAAACACCAUCCAUUUAGACAUUCAACAAUCAUUUAUUUGGAAAUAUAAUGGCACAGAAGGGAAAGUAUCACCAGAGGCACAUUUUCGAGACUGAAAAAUCCAAGUAGGAGAGGCUCCAUCUUUGCAGAGGAUGUGAAUAGCACCUAUUAGAUUAGGCAGCUUUUCUUCUCUAUACUUAAGUAGCACCCAGCAACUCAACUCAGCAAUUGUCCUUCAGACUAUAAACAGCCAGGGAGGAUGUUUUCAAAAUUAGCAUUGAGGAGGUUGUCCCUUAUCCUUCCUUCAAUAGUGGAAGAAAGGGAAGAAUUCAUCCUAUCACACCUUCUUGAUUCCCAAGAGACAAUCUUUUUUGUCAUUUCUAUCCCUGUUCUUAUUGUGUUGCUGUUAUGUCACUUGACAUUUUUCUCCCUCAGAUUCCUCAUUUACAAAAUGGAAAUAAUGAUGCCCAUGUCUACCUGGUCACAGAAAUACCCUUGUGAUUAAUAAGGGUACCAGGACAACAGUCAAUGCAGGACAUUAGAGAAAGAUUCUACAAGAGAUAUUUGUAUAUAAUUUAUAUUAAUUGCAUAAAGCAGAGUUACCAGAAAGUCUGGGAAUAAGAUUCAUUUUGUAUCUAACUGCUGCGUCAGUACUAUUUGCAGAGUAGUCUAGAUUAUCUUUCUCUAACUGAAGGUGAAAGGUUUUGUAGUUACCAAAUGAUGUGGGAAACAGCAUAGUCCAUUUCUGAAAGAUGUACUGUUUCUUCAGCCAGCAUGGAGGAAAAAGCAUGCAAGCACAGAAUGAUUAGAACUCUUUAAUCCUGGAGGGAUGGUGUUUGUAUCAAUUAUGUUUCAAGCCUUGUAUGUGAAGAACUGUAUUCUUAGUCACUAAACCCUCAUUUAAUGGCUUUAGCGACCUACAGAAAGUUAGUGAAAAGCAUGCCUGGUGCCACAGAUGAAAUAGUGUUAGGGCAUUGACGAUGUCUGCCUUCUUUUCUUUUGGGAGGGAAAUCCCCCUUCUAGAUUCUUAAAAUAGCAGUUGGCUUUCAUUAAAUCUACUCAGAGUUAAGGGUCUGGGGAUCAUGACUGACCUUUUUCUUUGGGAAUGGAGCACAUUUUAAUAAGCUUUCUCCUGCCCAUGGUCUCUGAAAGACUUAGCCUCUGGCAGGCCCUUGAAUUGCAGGGUUUUAUAAAGAAAAGGAUUGAUUACAGGCUUCAAAUUCUUUCUCUUUCUUUAAUUCCUUUUUUUUUUUUUUUCUUUUCAUACAAAGAAUGUGAAAGAUAUUCUGAGUCUUCUUCUAUUGAGAUACGGGUGGCCUUACAGGCAGACAUUUAGCAUUGAACUUUUAUUAAUCUUCUGUGAGUUUGACAAAGUUUCUUCUUUUUUGCUUCCUAAAUAUCAGUGAGGCUAAAGAGCUGUUACUUGCCCAGCUUGUUCUUCAGCACUGAAAGAGCCAGAGAGAAAAAGAGUUUUGUUGUUCUUGUUUUGUUUUUUGGCUUUCUUGGUGGAACUGCACCUAUAACCUCCAUCUGAAAAGCUUCAUUUAGUACAGGUCUUAACACAUGCUGUUCCCUCAGACACAAACAUUCGCCCUGCCUUACCUCUCCCUUCUUCUCUGUGCCCCUCCUCACGCUUCCUCCAAAAAGCUUUCCUUCUAACUCCUGUCUAUCCCAAUGCUUCCUUCAGGAAGCCCUCCUAUAUGUUCCCACAGCACAUCAUACUCUUGCUUAUUUCAGGACAGCACUUCUCACGCUGUUGAAUUUGUUCAUGAGCUUGAGUGUGUUCCCACUACACACUAAGCUUAAUCCCUACAGAAGCUGUGGAUGUUUCACCAUUUUAUUCCCAGUGCUUUGCACAGUGACUGGGCCCUAAUAAAAAUUUAGUUAAUAUUUGUCAGAUGCAUGAAUGAAUUAAUAUAAUUCAAGGAACAUAAGAUUAACAUAUAUUAAUGUUUCUUUAUGCCAGGGAUUGAACUCAAUGCUUCACAGACAUCAUCUAAUUAAAUAUUUGUAACUUUAUAUGAAGGCAUUUUUAAACACAUAAUGACAGAAAAAGGCUUAAAGAGGCUUAGAAAAUUAUCAAGGUGAUAAAGCUGGUAAGUUACAGACUAAGGUUAUUACCCAUACUGUAUAGUCAGCUAAUCCAAAAUAUAGGGAUAUAUGGUCAUUUAGCCUCACAAAACAUGAGCAGCACUGACUGAAGAGCAAUGCAAUGUAUUUAUCAGAUUGCUUUACCAAGGGGCUGUACUUUCUAGAAUUCAUAGCUGAAAUGAGAAGGGAGUUCUCACUUAAUAUUGAACAAUUUUGUGACAUUUAGUCGUAUAAAAGUCAUUCUUUUGCUCAAUUAAGACUGCUAUUCCACAAGACACUUAUCUGGCUAUUUUGUGUUAUAGGUAAUUAUCUGCAUGCUAGUCACUAAGGCUGUCCAAAAAAAAAAGUAAAACAGUGAGAAAGGGAAAGACAAUCAGUUGUUUGACUGAUCUGAUUUUCUGUUUUAUUCAGGUGAAAAGUUAGAUAAAUAAACUGAUUUUGCAGUGUAGCUAUAGCCCAAGACUAUCUGAUGAUUUUGAAAAAAGAAAUAAAAUACAAUCCCCUGAAAUUCUAGUGAUUUCCAGUCACUACUGACCAUGUAGAUUUGAACCAAUACUUGCUUUCUCUAAACCAAUUGAUUUUCCUUCUCACAGGCAACAUUUUUAUUUUCUAACCUGCAGCAUUUCUAUGCCUGACUGGAAUAUUUUUGCAUUUGAUUAAUGUUUUCAUUUGACUUUCAAUGAGGUCUCGAAACAGUUUGGCUUGUCACAGUCAAAUUAUUUAAAUGUUCCUCUGAAAAGAGUAUGUGGGAACUAAAAUCAGAUUCAUGUGAACCUGAAAAAACAGUGGCAACAUUUCCUGAACUUGUUAAAUUUUUUGUCUAAAUUAAUCAUUUCACAAUUUUGUUUCAUGUUGAUGUUCAGCUUCUUAAAUAUAGUGAUUAUUGGAUUCCUUAAUGGAAAGCUUUUCAUUUUUAGCUGACCCAGAAGUUGGUCUCUGAUAAGGAUUUUUAUUACCUUUUUAAGUAUUCCUUAUGGUUUCAACAGCACCAAUAUAUUAUGCCUUCUAUUCAUAUUAGUAAAAAUUAUUUUGAUUUCUCUAAACUAUCCUUUUCACUUCUCAGCUACUCCUUACUCCUCCUAAUUGAUCAGAAUUAUCUCAACUAUGGGUUCAAAUAUGGUCAACAUUCUCUGCCUUCAUUCCGCUUAUGCCCUGUGAAAGAAAGUAAACAUAAAAUAGUACAUACCAUAUUAUCCCACUUAUAUAUAAUUUUAGAAAUUGCAAACUAAUCAGUGGAGUUGAAAUGAAGAUUAAUGUUUUCUUAGGGCUGGGGAAUAAGAAAGGAGUUGAUUGCAAGAGGGACAAUGAAUCUUUUGGGGGUGACAGAAAUAUUUUGUGUCUUGAUUGAGAUAUUGGCUUCACAGGAGUAUAUAACUAAUAAAACUCAUCAAAUUGUAGUCUUUAAGUAAAUGUGCUUCUUCCUUCUAAUGUGGAUACAAAUAAAUUGCCUGACAUGUGUGAUAAAUACAAAAAAUGAAAUUCUUGAAAAGACAUAUGCAAAGUAAUGUGAACUGACACCUUUCCAAUCAUGAACAAAGGUAUUUGUCCUUUCUAAAACCUGAAAAAGGAGAAAUAAUCAUCUGCCAGAUAAUUUCAUCAAGGGUAUCAAAAACAAUUCCAGCUAAAGGAGAAAACUCAACCUAAAUAAACUGGAAGUAAAAAAGAUUUACUAUGAUGGACUGAUGAAUACAAAUCUGUAUCACACUGAGGUUAAGGUAGCUGUCCACAAAGUCCAAGCACCAUAAACACUGACAGGAAGGAAAAUGAGAGAGUGCCUUUGAGACUGUGCACUUACUUUCUAUUCUUGUAGGUUCUGAUCUGAUGCAGAAGAUAUUCAGUGACAGAAACUACUCCUUAACCAAAUAGGAAAGUGCAUACAUUGGAUAGCAAAAGAAAGGCCUAGAGUAUUUACAUAUCUGAUAGGGCUUGGUUGUGUUCCCACCCAAAUCUCAUCUUGAAUUGUAGCUCCCAUAAUCCCUAUGUGUCAUGGGAGGGACCCAGUGGGAGGUAAUUGAAUCAUGGGGGUGGGUCUUUCCCAUGCUAUCCCCAUGAUAGUAAGUUUCAUGAAAUCUAAUGAUUUUAUAAAGGGGAGUUCCCCUGUACAUGCUCUCUUGCCUGCCGCCAUGUAAGAUAUGACUUUGCUCCUCAUUUGCCUUCUGCUGUGAUUGUGAGGCCUCUAGCCACAUGGAACUGUGAGUCAGUUAAGCCUCUUUCCUUUAUAAAUUGCUCAAUAUUGGGCAUGUCUUUAUUACCAGCGUGAGAACAAACCAAUACAUCAUCAAACAACUGGUAGAUUGAAGACUUUAGACCUAUUCAGUACUAAAAACAGGCAGAUACAGCUUCUAAAAAGAAAAAAUAUCUACCCUAAAAUCAUUCCAUUUAUUCAGAGUAAUGUGUUACUAGAUAUGCAGCAUUGAAAUGUGGAACACGGGGGUGCAGCUAGAAUGGGUUUUCCUUUAUAAAAUAUCCACAUCUAUGGAAUCUAAUGAAACUUGAUAUUGUAACUUGGAAAUAAAUACGAAAAAUUAAUUAAUUUACAAUCAAGUUCAAGAAAGAAAAUAUAAAUAAUAUAAUUCUUGUUUAAUAAAUAUAAAAUCAGACGUCUUCCAAAUUCAAAUUGUCAGGCACUUUUACCUAGUCUCAACAAGAGGAAAUUAUACAUCAAAUAACUGGUCUGUGAAAAAUACUUCCUUUUGCACUCUGAUCUAAGGUCAACUAAGCCCCAAUUCAGAAAGUUGGAUUGGACAGUUUAAAAUUAGUUGACAGAAAGAAAUUAGUGUGAAUUUUAAAGCUUAAAAAUGAACACGAUUAAGGUAUUUGUGAUAAACUAAAUCAUCCCUUGAGGACUAUAAGUGACUCACAAAAAUAUAGUUCACAUGGAUCUUAUUUCGGCAGCAGUUCACUUUGCUAACCUUAACUGUACACCAAGGAUAUGUACUCAUUGUCAGGACAAGGAAGGCUUGGGCAUUUCAGAAAGACGUUUGUUUACUUGUAAAUGUUAUAAUUUCUAUAGACAGGCUACAUAGGAUGUACUAUCUGUAUGCAUUCUUAUUAUUUGGCAAAUACAUUUCACAGAUAGUUCUUGCUGAAAGGAAGCUAUAAUCAUAUAACUUCUACUCCUACCUUUGUUCAAAUGACUCAACAAUUGAACAAUAUAAACAACUUACGAUGUGUGCUUCUGAUUUUGUUUCACAUUCUUUAUUUUGAGUGUUUGAUUAGUGAAGUGCCAUAGAAAUCAUAUUUUUGUCAAAUGUUUGUAUAAUCAGCAAGAAUACACAGCUUUAUACAUAAGAAGUUCCUGCUCUGAAGACUGAGAUUCAUUGCUAGAAUUUGUUUCAAAAAGAGAACCAUUUGGACUUCCCAAAUUGAAGCCCUUAUCUCAAAAGUUGGGCCUGUCUUGCCCAAAAAAGCUUUCAGUAUUACUUCUUAUAAAGGAAGUUACCGUGGAUUUUGGUCAACCAUACAAAGACUAGGAAUCAAGAUGACAGUUUUAAGAAUAAUGGAAAAUGAAAGAGAAUCUGUAACCAAAGUAUAGCAGAAAGACUAUGCACUUUGAAGUCAGAGAUAUUGGGGCUUACUCCCAGCUCUGCCACUUCAAAACACUGCAAUGAUUAACAAGUUAUUUCUAAACAUCAAUUUCUUCAUUAUAAAAUAGGGACAGUAUCUGCCUCAUAGUGUUUUAAAAUAACUAGCAGUGUCUGGCACACAGUAGAUAUACAAUAAAUGUUAGGUUCUUGGUCUCUUUAUCUUAAAUGGUUCUAGAAAUAACUUGUUUUAAUGUAUGUUUAUUAAGGUACCAACUCUCAGAUCUUUGUUACAAGUAAGUUUCAAAUAAUACAUUUAAAGAACACUUAAUAAUUCCUAUCUGUCUUCUCACUCUCUACUGAACAAAUAUUAUUCCUCUUGAUGGUCACAAUAUGCUUUGUUUAACUCCACUAAUCAUCAUGAGAAAUAGCAAGAAAGAAAGGAGGAGGAAGAAGAGGAGGAAAAUGCAGAUGCAAUGGCAAUUCAAAGAAAGUAAUAGUUCAAGGUCAAUAUUAAAAAUAUACCUUACCAUGGUGAAACCCUGUCUCUACUAAAAAUACAAAAAGUAGCCAGGCGUGGUGGCUCGUGCCUAUAAUCCCAGCUACUCAGGAGGCUGCAGCAGGGGAAUCACUUGAACCCAGGAGGCGGAGGUUGCAGUGAGCCGAGAUUGCCUCAUUGCACAUUCCAGCCUGGGUGACAGAGCAAGACUCUGUAUCCAAAAAAGAAAAAUAGUCAAACCAUAGCUAAUCAUUCUCCCUCUCCUCAUCUCAUCCACAACAUCAGACUUUGCCUUAUCUCAGCCACCUGAGAUCUGGUUAGAUAUAAAGGAAAUAUUGGGCCACCAUAAAUAAUUUGUAGGUGGAAAAUUGAGAAUUGACAUGAUCCUACUUUUAAUUAUACAUUUAUUUAUUUUGGCAUAGACUUCCUGUCUUAUCUGAAAAAUAUAACAAGGAAAACAAUUCUCAUAUUUGAAUGUUUUCAUGAUAUUUUAUAUUUAUUUUUAUUUUUUGAUUCUUGAAAAAUGUACCAUCAAACCACAGAUACAGGAUCUCAUACUAACCUUCCAUACUGCCAGAGUAACAUAUCUCAGGAAUGUCUCCUCGCCUCCAGGUUUCAAAUCAGACAAGAAAUAGUUGGGAAGUCCAGGACAGUACAGGAACUUAUUUCUAGGAAUUCUUGUCCACAAUCUAUGACAUUCACGUGCUGCCUACAACAGAUAGCUAACACCAAUAUUUAACCAUCCUCGAAGCAGCCAUGCAACUUACAGUACUUUGUUGGAUGGAGAGAGCAUGCCCCCACCUCAGUAUCUGUUAACUUCAAGGGAAUGGACCAAGAUACAAGACUCUCUGGCACUGUUAUUGAGAAUAGCUUAGUACAGGAGCAUUUGCCAUAGGUCAGCAAGAAAUUAAAAUAGCACAAGCUGGAAGUAAUGAGGGUUAGAUCUGAGACAGAAGCCAUGAGAAAGCAAAGGAAUCUAAAGAUUAUAGAUCUAUGGUAGAGGUGAAAUUGACUGGAUCAGGUAACCGAUCCCAAGUAAGAGUGGGAAGAAGAAAAAAAUGGAAAGAUGUCAGUAUUUCAGCCUAGUUGGCAAGGUAAGAUGCAGUGUUACUGAAACAUACUGGUAAUGAAGGGGUGAUAGAAAAUAAAAUAGAACUUUAGCAAAAGCCACAUGUAUGGCCUAAGGACCUUUUUUGAGUUGAAAUCUUACUUUGAAUAAGAUAGUACACUAUUGAGAUGUUUAAACAAGAGAGGAACAUAAUCUGCUUUAUUUAUUCAUUUAUUCAACAAAUAUUUAUUGAAUAUGUACUAUAUGCCAACUCUUUUUGGACACUGGAGAUACUGCACUUGCCAAAACAGAACCUGCCUUUGUGGAGGUUAUAUUUUAUUAGUUUAAUUCUAGAAUAUUCUGAAUGUAUUGGGGAGAAAAGGCCAAAACUGAAAGCUGCAAGAGCAGCUGGAAAUAUAUGGUGACAUUCCAAGUGGCAGAUGAAAGUGAGUUGGAAUAGAAUGGAAACAGUGGAAAUGGAGAGAAAGCAAUGGAUUUGGUGGGUUUUGUUUGCUUGUUCAUUUAGGUAGAGUAUACUAAGUACAUAUAGGAGAUGAGAGUCAGAGAAGAAAUUGGCAGACACAGAUGAGAUUUUUGAGAUGUUAUUGGGAAGUAGCUUUUGGCCAUUUUAAAUUUGAGGUACCUAUUAGACAUUUAAGAAGAGACCUUCAGAAAUCAGUUUGAAAUACAAAUCUAAGCUCAGAAAGAGACAAAAACUUAAAUUAUAUACUUAAGAAUCUUGGCAAAUAGAUGUCCUUGAAAGCUAUGAAGUGAAUGAGAUCAUCUCUGGAGAGAGCAAAGAGAAGAGGACCUAAGCCAGAGAAGUGGGAGCUAUCAGAGAAGACUGAGAAGGCCUGAGAAAGAGAACAAAGGAAAGCCAGCAGCAAACGGUGCUAUAGGAUUUGAGAGGGGAGCAUGUUUCAAUUAGUCAGAAGUUAUCUACUAUGUUGAAUAUACAUGAUAAUUUAAAUAAGAUGAGCAAAACAUACAGAUGGUCCUUGAUUUGGGAUGGUAUAGCUUAUUAUUUUUUGACUUUACAGUAAGUUUAUCAGGGUAUUGAACGUGCUUUCCACUUAGGAUAUUUUCCACUUAUAAUAAGUCUGUCAUAAGUGGAUAACUGGAUUGUAACUGGAGGGAGGCAUGGGUCGGGGGGGAUUUUAAGGAUGGGAGCUACUAGAGCAGGUGUCCAUGAUGAGGGAAUAAUCUGGUACAAAGGAAAAGUAGAUGUUGCAAAAUAGAAGGAUCUAAUUGUGUGAGCAAAAUCCUAGCACUUGGCUCAGGGCCUGGCAGAGAUAGGAGCUCAGCAUGAGUCUGCUGAAUUACAAUAAAUUACUUAAACCCAGCAGGUAAUGGAACUGGGAUUUAACUCCUCAUCUAUGACUCCUGGUUUAGUUCUCAAGUCACUAGACCAUGCUGUCCAUAGCCCUUAGUCCAGUCUACUUCUCAUCUAUAAAGUCAUUUCUCCCGGGUUCCAUCAGUAGCCCUUCUGCUUUAGAUGCAGAAACCCCUGAUUCAAUUUCGUGCAGGAAUGGAUUUCUCACAAAUAAGGAUAAUCCUCCAUUUCAUGUCUACUCACUUGGUUGACUUCCUGUUUUCCACACUCUUCCCACAAGAGGCUUUGCAGUUUCUAUUUUCUGAGACAUUCAAAUAAAUGUGAGUUGGUAUUGUGACCAAAUACCUCCUGAAAUGCAUAUUUUUCCCCUUUAUCAUUUUUGAAACAAAUGAAUGAAUUGCAAAGGAGCUACAUUAAUGAGAUGUUUAAUUUGAGGUUUUAAUUUUGCAAAUGUUGGGAAGCAUAAUUAAGGUUCAGGCAGUACCAUAAGUGUCUUCAGGAAUAUAAAAUAACUGAUUUUGCAUCUAGAGUUUUUGGGAACAUUUUCUGCCUAAACACAAACCACUUAUAGCUGUUUUCCUGUGUUCUAAAUUCACCUCAGGCACUGUGAAGACACAGAACAUGUAGUCCUCAUAGAGAUGGCAAAUAAUCAGCACGGCUGUCAUCAUGACAAUUAGCAGAAAGCAAUGUGCUGAGAGGAGUGAAGGCAUAGGUGAAAAGCAGUGGGCACUGGUUUAUAUUUAUUUUAUUCUCAUAAUUGCAAGGCAGCUUUCUUCAAUUUUAUUCUAUAUGCUAUCUCAGGUAAUUAAAUCAGUAGAGAAGGACAGGAAUAUUGAGUUAGAUAGCGAUAUAGAUAGAAUAGAAAAGACUUCUGGAUAAAAAGAUGAGCACAGAAAGGAUUUGAAAACUUAAUAAACGAAAUUAUCCUCAAGAAUUUUAUCUGUAUAAGCAUACCAUAUAGUUAAAAGGAAAGAAAGAAAAACUUGCAUGGGCCUGGAACAUCUAUCAAAAAAAGUUAGCUUACUUUAUGGGGUAGAGAAAGGGCUACUUGUAUUCAAGCACCUGAGAUGGCUGUUUCUUUAGCAGACCACCAAUGAACUAGAAGUGGAAAUUAACUUUCCAGGCAAUUUCUAUUUCUUAUGCUAUGUCUAAACAUACAACCAGUUUGAAAAAAAUAAUAAGGUGAGUCAAGCAACAAAUGUUUAAAAAAUUGCUAUUUCUACUUCUUUUUGAAUAGUAUACAGCAGCAUUUUUGGCACCACAGAGUGGUUUUGUGGAAGACAACUUUUCCACAGAAGGUGGGGAAGGUGGGGAGGGGGGCUGAUGGGGAGCAAGGCCUGGUGUGGAACGGUUUCUGGAUGAAACCGUUCCACCUCAGAUCAUCGAUCAUGAGACUUUUGUUCAUAAGGACUAUGCAACCUAAAUGCCUUGCAUGAAUAGUUCACUGUAGGGUUUGUGCUCCUACGAGAAUCUAACGACACUGCUAAUCUGACAGGAGGUGGAGCUCAGGCAGUAAUGAUGACCCGCUUGCCACUCACUUGCUGUGCAGCCCAGUUCCUGCGGUGCAGCCCAGUCCCCAGGCCACAGGUUGGGGACCCCUGUCAUACAGCCAUGAGAUAAAAAUAGUAGAACUAUAUUGAUUUGUUGGACUUGUAUUAGGUAGGACCAUAUCAAACUGGCUUUGGUCAAAUAUUGCCUUUGGUCGAAUAUUGGUCAACAUGAUUGCAAAUCAACAAUAUUACUCGGUUCAAGGCAAUUCUAUCUUUAAGCUAAUAGGAAAAAACCUCCUCUUAUGAUCAAAAUCAAUCAAUAUACAUUUAUUUCAUAUGCAGGCUGCACCAGAUGUUUCAAUUCAGUGAUAACAAAGCUUUUGGGUGUGACAGUCUCUUUUAGUAUUUCAAAUUAGGAAGACCUCAAGUAAUGCUGUUGAGCUUUUUUUAGAGUUAGUCUCUUUUAGACUAUGCUUAACCAUGCUUCCCUAAAGUGAAUGACUCCUAUAAAUAUUUUUUUAUAUUUUAUUUACUAUAUGAAGGAAAUAAUUUAUACAGUGGUCCAUUUUCAAGACAAGGUGCCUUGAAUUGGCUUAGAUCAGCAAACUACAGAAGAGACAGUAUAUACUAGGCUCCUGCUUGGAUAGUGGACAUCUGCUGGUUGAACCCCACCCUUUUCCCCCUCUUAGUUGCCCUCACCUGAACCAAAGAAGUUUAGUCUGUUCUUAUCAGCCUGCCCAGCUACUUAGGUCAUAAGUCAAAUACUUGAAGAGCCCCUGAGCUAACUAGGAUUGCAAUGCAUUGUGGGCUGCAAAAAAAAAAAAUAAUAAUAAUAAUGCAUCAGAACAACCCUAAAGAAAAUAUCUAAAGCCCCUAUGCAAUAACCAAUAGGUGACAUCCGGCAAGACUGUGACCCCAUAGUACUCAGCCUAUGAGGAACCAGGAGAGGACCUGCGUACUAGGGCAUAAAUUGCUUAUUUUAACUAUUCUGGGGGUGCCUGCCUAUUAGACACCCGAUCUUGCAAGCCCAUCAUUAGAAGCCUCACUUUCACUGUUCUCCAGGUCUCUGAGUCCAUUCUUUGGAUUUGGAUGGUUGAGUUUGUUCCUCACAACCUGGUGGAACUCUAUGCCUUUGUGGAGUGGGACUCCAGCCAAGAGGGGAGAUGUGUCUCACCUGAUUUAGGUGGCCUGCCUUGUCUGGGUGUCCCAGCUCCUCACAGAAGCCAUAGACAAACUAGAGACUGUUAUUCAGGAGACAAUGAAAGUGACACAGGGAGAAAAGCAGGUACCACAGCAACCGGGCAACCUCGUGCACAAGCCAGGGCAGAACAAUUGGACUGUAAGUCCUGCCUUGGUGAUUGGGCAAGUUCGGUGUGUGACUGAGACGUAUCCUAGGUAUGAAGCAAGUGUGGAGUCCCAAUCUGUGGUUCCAUUCUCCUGUGAGGGAAAUGGCCGGAGAUGGAUGAAUCAAUUUUCAGGGUGUGCAAGAAAUCUUCAGUGGUGGGGCUGAGUACACAGGGAAAAGCUUAGACACAGAGACUAACCGAAAGUGUGAAAUAAGAAUUCUAGGCCUAGGGAACAGAGGAAAGAGGGAACUAAAGACACUCCAUCUGAAAUUCUCCCAGAAUUUCACUGGAGAGAAUGCUGCAGGUUUGGAGGGAUACCCUCAAACCAGGGACAAGGAAAAGCAAAAGACGAUAAAGUAUUGUUGUUUUAUCUGGCCCAAAGAGCCCAUUCAUCAGCCUUCAGUCUCUUGGCCUAAGUUUGGCUCAGAUGAGGACUAGGUGUGCCAAUCUUUAAUUCCUUAUGUGAAUAAUAAAACCUCAUCCUCACGAGAAAAGAUAGUGAAUGCUCCCCCAUAAAGAGGGAGAAAAAGAGCAUAGUAAAGAGCCCUCACCCAGUGAAAAACCCUGGGAUCCCCUAACAUGCUUGCCCAAUCCCAUACAUCUCACAAAGUAGAGGAUAGGGAGAUCAGGAGGCAACAGGAAGGCCAGAGGAAGAGGAAUCUGGGGUUCAUGAAGGAGCUAAACCCAAUGCUCCUUUAAAUCCUUAUCCAAGCUUGAGGAAAGAAUUAGAAUAAUGUAAGAGAGACAUUGAGAAUGUCUCUAUUCCUUCUAAACAGCAGAUGUCUAACAUGUACCCUCUUAGAGAAGUCCCUAUGAGACAGAGAGAGGUUGGUUUUGUUAAUGCGCCUCUAAAAAGUACUAAGGUUAGGAAAUUUAUAAAGGAAAUGAGACCACUCUUAGAAGAUCCCCUCGAUUUAGCAGAGCAGCUAGAUCAAUUGUUAGGACCCAGUUUUUAUACUUGGUCUGAGAUAAUGUCAAUCAUGAAUAUUCUGUUUACUGGGGAAGGGAAGGGAAUGGAUUAGAAGGGCAGCCAUGACCAUUUGGGAGAGACAACACCCUUCCAGGCUAGGAGUAAUGACAGCUGAGUAGAAAUCCCCAAAUGCAGAUCCUGAAUGGGAUAAUAAUCACCCCAGAGACUGAGUCCAAAUGCAAGAACUUAGGGACCUAAUAAUUAAAGAGUCCACUCCUAGGACACAGAAUGUCUUGAAAGAAUUUGAGAUCCAACAUGAAAAAUAGGAGUCUCCCUCUGCAUUUCUACAGAGACUUAGGGAUCAAAUGAGAAAAUAUUUAGGAUUAGAUCCUGAGGACUCAUUAGGGUAAGGCCCCUUAAAGGUUAAUUUUGUGACUAAAAGCUGGCCUGAUAUUACUAAGAUACUGCAAAAGAUUGAAGAAUGGAAAUAGAAACCGAUUGAGGAAUUACUGAGGGAAGCUCAGAAGGUUUUUGUAAGAAGAGAGAGAAAGAGUUAAGCUGCUGACCCUCAAGGUAGGGGAGAGCUAGCCACGCAGCUGGGGGUGGGAGUUGGCCGCUGAAAGUUGUUGAUGAAAGCUGCUGCUGAAUCUUUGUCAUUUCAGCAGUGCUGUCCAUCUUUGCAGAUGGACAGAGCGGAGCCAGGGCACACCACAGCUCGGCUCACACACAGAGAGAGAAAGAGGAAGAUACUGAGCUUAAGGGAGAAAAGAAACAAGGGAUGACAGAGAGACAGAAGAAGAAAACGAGUUAGAGAGAGACUGAAAUAGACAGAAAUCAAGGAGAGACACAGAAGGUGAGACCAAGGAGAGAGAUAAUGUAAGAGGAAGAGUACCAGAGGAAGAAAGAGAAAGAGAGAAUGGCCAUAAAAGACGGGAGACAAGGAGACUAAAGUACAAGUAAGCAGUAGCUGCCAUGGCCAAGCUGGUAGAGGAGAGUAGAAAGCUGACCUUCAGUGGGCUCUGGUAGUGAGCACCCUACAUUAGGUCAGGAAUAUAUUAAAUCAAAGAGCUGGAAGAUGGUUGACUGGUUCCCGAAUUUUAAAAUAUAAAGCCAUAUUACUAGAAAAAGAUAAUUUGGUCUUAACAACAUAUACUUAUUUGAAUCCAGCCAGUUUCUUAUGAAAAGGAGAGAAGAAUGAGGAGGCAUUAGAUCAUAACUGUUUAGAUAUCAUAGAACAUCAAACUAAAGUUAGAGCAGAACUUAAAGAAACUCCACUACCUGAUGAGAUGAGGCUGUUUGUGGAUGUGUCACCCUGAGUGAUAGAUGGUAAAAGACACAAUGGCUAUGCUGUCACUGAUGGAAACAAUCCUUAGGUGAAAAAGGCAGAUUACCCAAUAACUGGUCAGCCCAAACCUCUGAAUUUUGCAGACCCUAAAGCUCCUAGAAAGCCAAGAAGGCACUAUAUAUACUGAUUCCAAAUAUGCCUGUGGAGUAGUAGACACUUUGGAAAUAUCUGGACAGAGUGAGGCCUAAAAAAUAGCAGGGAGAAAGAAUUGAUAUAUGGGGAACUAAUCAAACAGAUUUUAAAACCUCCUGCUUCUGCAGAGGUAGUCAUAGUUCCUGUAAAUGGCCAUCAGAAAGGAAACACUAUAGAAGCUGUAGGAAACAGGCUUGCAGGUAAAGCUGCUAAGCAAGCCUUCCUGGAGGAAGAAGUGAAACUGUUUAGCCUAAUCCCAGAUAUCCCUAGGAUGGUAUUAAGACCCCAAUUUUCUAAAGAGGAGAAAGAGCUGAGCAAGAUACGGGCCACGCAAACUAAGGAUGGGAGGUGGGUGCUCCUUGAAGGAAGAGAAAUAAGCAAACCCAUAAUGAGAGAACUGACGUCCAUAUGGCAUAAAGAAAGAUAUUUGUGUCUCCAGGCCAUGUGUAAUGCGAUACUCAAGAUUUAUGGGCAAGAGGGAUUUACACCCUUGCUAAAUAAGUGUGUGGGGGUUGUAUGACCUGCCAGAGAAUUAAAAAAAAAAAAAAA